GCACUGCUGAGGAGUCCCACAAUAGGACAAAACGGCCGUCCAGUGC
rfam:Schistosoma margrebowiei strain Zambia genome assembly, scaffold: SMRZ_scaffold0002661